CGCCGGGGUUCGGGUCCCGGGUCCCGGGUCCGGUGUUCUCUCCGGAGCUGGGGCUGGAGUGGAGAGCGCGAGCUGCAGAUCAAGAGAAAUUUAUAGGAAAAUGGAAAAGCAGAAAUUCUGAUGUUUUGCUUUUGAUUUUGCCAAGUUAAGUCAAUUCCAGGAGUCCUCUUUUCAGAAAGAUAAAUAAAUGCUGAAGACUUAUUUCCAACCAAUACAUGGAUGGCUGCCAAUGAGAAAAGCAAGCAGCAGAAAGUAACAGCAAAGUAACUUGGCACUGGAUAAACCAGAAAGAGAAAAACCAAGAUCUCUUAGGAAGUUUGGGCACACAGACCUGAAGAGCAGAUGUGCUUUAGUGGGACAGGUAGAGGGAAGCAGCAGAAUGUGAGGAGGCUGCAGACCAUGCCAAGGUGGAGGAGGAGAUGCUGCAGAGUCCCCAGGGCUGACAGAGACUUGCCAUGUGACACAAUCUCUCCAUUCCAGAACUCUGAGGCUAGUGAUACCUGCAGUUGGUCAGAGCUCAAACCUCUGAUGUCACUGCUUUGGAAGAUCCCAGAAAACCUGUGGAAACAUGUUUAUUCAGUGGAAGUGUGUUGACUCCAGCUGGUUCCUACCCUAGAGGAAUCACACAGAAUGGGUUUGGAAUUAGCUACAAUGGAAGACCACCUCAAAGCCUGUCCUGUUUGAACUCUCCUGCUUGGACCUCAGCUGCUGCAGCAAGGAAGCCUAAAUAAGGCUGAGUCUAGGAGCUCUGAAGCCUAUGGACGACAGCUCCAGCUGAGCUUCCAGUUGGCAUCUGACAACAGCUUUAAGCUUUGGGAGUAAGAUUAUUUGGAACUUCUUUCUUCUGCACCUCACCAAAUGGAGUUCUUUUCAAGAUAUAGUCCAUGAGUGAGGUUUGGAACUUUAAAAAAAAGAUUUUAUUGGGGAUCCCUGGGUGGCUCAGUGGUUUGGCACCUGUCUUCAGCCCAGGGCAUGAUCCUGUAGUCCUGGGAUCAAGUCCUGAGUCGGGCUCCUUGCAUGGAUCCUGCUUCUCCCUCUGCCUCUC